rnacentral:rRNA from 1 species
ACUCCUACGGGAGGCAGCAGUGGGGAAUAUUGCGCAAUGGGCGAAAGCCUGACGCAGCGACGCCGCGUGAGGGAUGAAGGCCUUCGGGUUGUAAACCUCUUUCAGCAGGGAAGAAGCGAAAGUGACGGUACCUGCAGAAGAAGCACCGGCUAACUACGUGCCAGCAGCCGCGGUAAUACGUAGGGUGCAAGCGUUGUCCGGAAUUAUUGGGCGUAAAGAGCUCGUAGGCGGUCUGUCGCGUCUGCUGUGAAAACUCGGGGCUUAACCCCGGGCCUGCAGUGGGUACGGGCAGACUAGAGUGCGGUAGGGGAGACUGGAAUUCCUGGUGUAGCGGUGAAAUGCGCAGAUAUCAGGAGGAACACCGGUGGCGAAGGCGGGUCUCUGGGCCGAUACUGACGCUGAGGAGCGAAAGCGUGGGGAGCGAACAGGAUUAGAUACCCUGGUAG